GUCCAGCAGGGGCUUUUAAAAGGUGCAGGCAGCAGCAGACCAGAGGCUUGAUCUCUGCACUCCGGACGCGCCGCGGCUCUCCUGCGCUCCAUUCCGAGCACCCGGAGCACCGGAACGGCGGACCGACAGCACCCAGAUGGAAGUGAGGACGCAGCAUGUAACUGACCUGCCUCGUAUCCACAGGUCGACGCACAGUUUUUGAGUGAGAGGCAAAACGCUUCCUCGUCCACCUGCACACUGUGAGUAACUGUCAGCAAGUCGGCCAUCUGCUGCCUCGUUUUUCUUCUCCACACAUUGCUUUGUGAAGUGCUAGAAGUCAGCCUACGUGUGUGUUUAUUUUUUUUCUGAAUGUGAGACCUUCCACUGCACGCUUCUUAAAGUGUGAAGUCUGCUACGAGUCUGUAUGCAGGUGUGAAGCCUGGCAUGCCCCAAAUGCUUCAUCAGACGUAUGACUUCAGCUGGUUAGUGUGAUUUUCCUCCUUUUUAUUGUUUGCUGUCUCUAAAGCACAUGUGUGUGCGUCCAACUCCUUCAAGCAUGAUGUGUGUGUUUCCUGAGUUUGUGCAUGUGCCUGUAUACGUGUGUUUAUAAUCCAAGGCCAUUCAAUAGCACCACAUGGAUCCAUCCCAUAUCCUGGUCGCCAUGGUUACCGAGGCCACUUAUCACAGAGGGUCCAGGCAGAUCAAACAGGUGUGCAUCUCUGCUCAACAACUGUUGCUAGGAACCUUUGUUGCGCAAAACACACAGGUGCUUGUCGCCACCGGUGAAAACCAGCAGGAGCGCAAAAACAUUGUCUUGACGUCCCAGUCUGAACUGGUGUGUGUGUUUGUGAGUGUGGUUUUCUACACGGCACCUUUGUCAGAAACAGUUUGGCUUCUUCUGAGAGAAUAUUUUUUAUCAUGUCAUUUUAUGGGUCAUCACUUCAUCACGUUACUACUUCAGGUUAUGUUAUUGGUAAAAGGGUCAAAAGACUUUAAUAUGGCCAGCAUUAAAAUCAAGUCUCAGACAUUAAUCUUUAUUUUUGUUCUUUUAAAAUUACCCCAAAUUGUUUUCAAAUGUGUUUAUUUUAUGAAAAAUGUUUUCCUGGGCAGACAAACCACUGUGCUGCACAUGUUCUAUAUGACUUAAACAUUUGCAGUGUUAAUCAUACUUUCUAAACAAACAAUUAAUAAAAAAAACUGUAAAAACAAAUAUACCAAUGUAUUUUGUUUAGUGUCACCAGCAGUUCACAACCAGCAGAGAAAAUAGCAAAAGCAUUUUUCUUUAAAAAUAUUUUAUUGCCUGUAUUCCAGUCUUAAUGCAUUCUGAUGUCUUAUUCUAUAUUUGAUAAUAUCCUCAUUCUUUCUUAACAAGCAUAAAGCAACCAUCUGUGGCAACUGAUGAGUUACCAAUUUCCUGAAGGAGUAUGAAAAUAAACGUGUAAUUAUAUAGUAACAAAUCAAGCUAAAACACACAAGCAAAAUCUAGAAGCAAAUAGUGCAAAGCUAGCUACAUCCCAGGGGCAUUUUUCAAAGCACUGAAUAAAUCAUCUACCUCUUAUUAACUGUUUAUCACUGCAUAAACCGUUCACAUCACACAUAGACCAAUAUGUAUAGAAUAAUUUCACACACACUGGUGCUUUCAAGCCUUUAUUUUUAUUAUUUAUUAUGUUUUUCUGUCCAUAGCUAAUAGAAACAACAUAUUUAAGAAAUGUA